UAGGGAAUCUUCGGCAAUGGACGAAAGUCUGACCGAGCAACGCCGCGUGAGUGAAGAAGGUUUUCGGAUCGUAAAACUCUGUUGUUAGAGAAGAACAAUGACGUUAGUAUCUGAACGUCCCCUGACGGUAUCUAACCAGAACGCCACGGCUAACUACGUGCCAGCAGCCGCGGUAAUACGUAGGUGGCAAGCGUUUUACGGAUUUAUUGGGCGUAAAGCGCGCGGAGGCGGUUUCUUAAGUCUGAUGUGAAAGCCCCCGGCUCAACCGGGGGGGGUCAUUGGGAACUGGGGGACUUGAGUGCAGAAGAGGAGAGUGGAAUUCCAUGUGUAGCGGUGAAAUGCGUAGAUAUAUGGAGGAACACCAGUGGCGAAGGCGGCUCUCUGGUCUGUAACUGACGCUGAGGCACGAAAGCGUGGGGAGCAAACAGG
rnacentral:rRNA from 1 species